rnacentral:tRNA from 1 species
UCCCUGGUGGUCCAUUGGUUAAAACUCUGCCCUUCAAAUGCAGGGGGCAUGGGUUCAAUCCCUUGUUGGGGAA